UGGGGAAUAUUGGACAAUGGGCGCAAGCCUGAUCCAGCCAUGCCGCGUGAGUGAUGAAGGCCUUAGGGUUGUAAAGCUCUUUCGCCGACGAAGAUAAUGACGGUAGUCGGAGAAGAAGCCCCGGCUAACUUCGUGCCAGCAGCCGCGGUAAUACGAAGGGGGCUAGCGUUGUUCGGAAUCACUGGGCGUAAAGCGCACGUAGGCGGAUUGUUAAGUCAGGGGUGAAAGCCUGGAGCUCAACUCCAGAACUGCCCUUGAUACUGGCAAUCUCGAGUCCGGAAGAGGUAAGUGGAACUGCGAGUGUAGAGGUGAAAUUCGUAGAUAUUCGCAAGAACACCAGUGGCGAAGGCGGCUUACUGGUCCGGUACUGACGCUGAGGUGCGAAAGCGUGGGGAGCAAAACAGGAUUAGAUACCCUGGUAGUCCACGCCGUAAAACGAUGGAGGCUAGCCGUUGGCGAGCAUGCUCGUCAGUGGCGCAGCUAACGCAUUAAGCCUCCCGCCUGGGGAGUACGGUCGCAAGAUUAAAAACUUAAAUGAAUUGACGGGGUCAUAGCUGUUUCCU
rnacentral:rRNA from 1 species